UGCUUCGGGGGCGAUCAUGGGCGGCGAGCGGCGGACGGGUGAGUAAUGCCUGGGAAUAUGCCCUGAUGUGGGGGAUAACCAUUGGAAACGAUGGCUAAUACCGCAUAAUCUCUUCGGAGCAAAGAGGGGACUUCGGGCCUCUCGCGUCAGGAUUAGCCCAGGUGGGAUUAGCUAGUUGGUGAGGUAAAGGCUCACCAAGGCGACGAUCCCUAGCUGGUCUUAGAGGAUGAUCAGCCACACUGGAACUCAGACACGUCCAGACUCCUACGGGAGGCAGCAGUGGGGAAUAUUGCACAAUGGGGGAAACCCUGAUGCAGCCAUGCCGCGUGUAUGAAGAAGGCCUUCGGGUUGUAAAGUACUUUCAGCAGUGAGGAAGGUGGUUCGUUAAUAGCGGCAUUGCUUGACGUUAGCUGCAGAAGAAGCACCGGCUAACUCCGUGCCAGCAGCCGCGGUAAUACGGAGGGUGCGAGCGUUAAUCGGAAUUACUKGGCGUAAAGCGCAUGCAGGCGUCUKKUAAGCAAGAUGUGAAAGCCCGGGCUUWACCUCGCGACUGCAUUUUGARCUGGCAGACUAGAGUCUUGUAGG
rnacentral:rRNA from 1 species